rnacentral:rRNA from 1 species
UCUAGCAGCCAUAUCCCCCUGCAGCCCAAGACUAGUUGCCCACUGAAGCUAAGCAUGGUUGAGUCUGGUCAGUACCUGGAUGGGAGACCUCCUGAGAAAACUAGGUUGCUGCUGGAA